rnacentral:tRNA from 1 species
GGACCUCUAGCUCAAUUGGUUAGAGCAUCCGGCUCAUAACCGGCAGGUUCACGGUUCAAGUCCGUGGAGGUCCACCA